ACCUGAAGUAAGCAAGGCUACCCGCUGAACUUAAG
rnacentral:rRNA from 1 species